GAUGAACGCUAGCGAUAGGCUUAACACAUGCAAGUCGAGGGGCAGCACAAGGUAGCUUGCUAUCUGGGUGGCGACCGGCGCACGGGUGCGUAACGCGUAUGCAACUUGCCCUAUACAGGAGGAUAACCCGUCGAAAGACGGACUAAUACUGCGUAUGCUCACAACUUGGCAUCAAGUGGUGAGGAAAGAAAUUCGGUAUAGGAUAGGCAUGCGUCCCAUUAGCUUGUUGGUGAGGUAACGGCUCACCAAGGCAACGAUGGGUAGGGGAACUGAGAGGUUUAUCCCCCACACUGGUACUGAGACACGGACCAGACUCCUACGGGAGGCAGCAGUGAGGAAUAUUGGUCAAUGGGCGCGAGCCUGAACCAGCCAAGUCGCGUGAAGGAUGACUGUCUUAUGGAUUGUAAACUUCUUUUAGACGGGAAUAACAAGAGUCACGUGUGACUCCCUGCAUGUACCGGAUGAAUAAGCAUCGGCUAACUCCGUG
rnacentral:rRNA from 1 species